rnacentral:lncRNA from 1 species
GUACAUACGGCGUCACUCGAAGGUUGGCGUACCGCUUGAAAGAAGGAGUUUCUGUGUCAGGGAUUUCGCGAGAGUUUUCUGUUAGAGGGCUUUUUCGAUUGUUUCAAUUGAUUAUCUGGCUUUUCUGUUCAGUUUUCGUGUCGUACUCAUGGUCUUCAAUAUAGAUUUUGAUCGUUAGAGCUUUUCGUUAGAAACACUGUUGCUUACGGUCGAACUGCAAUUUGUAGGGUUGCCUCGAAUCCAUCAACUCAGCCGCUCCUGGAGGCUGGAGACCGAAGAGGCACAUUUGUAAGAUAUGUAUUUCGAGCAAGAUGGCAAUCAAACCCAGGCUGCCGCUUCACAUGGGUUCACCCCAUUGUUGCUUCACAAUAAUCCUGGCGUCUCGUAAAACCUUUCAAGUGAUGUAUUUCGAUGUAUAAAACUCAGGAAUGUCUUUCAUAGUGGAAAGUGAAGGUAGUAUUGUAAAUAAGGCAAAUGGAAGUAUGUGGAUAUUAAAACUGUAAAUAUGUGGUUUUGUAAGAGUA